UCUCUGUUAGUAUAUCGGUUAGUACACGCGCCUGUCAUGUACCAAUCGCGCGAAAGCGGGGUUCGACUCCCCGACAGAGAG
rnacentral:tRNA from 1 species